rnacentral:rRNA from 1 species
UACGAAGGGGGCUAGCGUUGUUCGGAAUUACUGGGCGUAAAGCGAACGUAGGCGGUGUUCCAUGUCAGAGGUGAAAGCCUGGGGCUCAACUCCAGAAUUGCCUUUGAAGCGGGGACGCUUGAGUCCGAGAGAGGGUGGCGGAAUUCCUAGUGGUAGAGGUGAAAUUCGUAGAUAUUAGGAAGAACACCAGUGGCGAAGGCGGCCACCUGGCUCGGUACUGACGCUCAGGUUCGAAAGCGUGGGGAGCAAACAGG